UGGUUGGACCACACCCAAAUU
ensembl:piRNA 21ur-2110 ncRNA